GUAGGGAAUAUUGGACAAUGGGGGCAACCCUGAUCCAGCGACGCCGCGUGAGUGAUGAAGGCCUUCGGGUCGUAAAGCUCUGUUGCAGGGGAAGAACACAAUGACGGUACCCUGCUAGAAAGGAUCGGCUAACUUCGUGCCAGCAGCCGCGGUAAGACGAGGGAUCCUAGCGUUGUUCGGAAUUAUUGGGCGUAAAGCGGGUGCAGGUGGCUUGGUAAGUCAGAUGUGAAAGCCUGGGGCUUAACCCCAGAAGUGCAUUUGAUAAUGCUGAGCUUGAGUGCUGGAGAGGCUAUUAGAAUUCCUGGUGUAGUGGUGAAAUACGUAGAUAUCAGGAGGAAUACCGGAGGGGAAGGCGGAUAGCUGGCCAGACACUGACACUCAGACCCGAAAGCGUGGGGAUCAAACAGGAUUAGAAACCCUGGUAGUCC
rnacentral:rRNA from 1 species